CCUACGGGGGGCAGCAGUGGGGAAUAUUGGACAAUGGGGGCAACCCUGAUCCAGCCAUGCCGCGUGUGUGAAGAAGGCCCUCGGGUUGUAAAGCACUUUCAGUGAGGAAGAACGCCUGGUGGUUAAUACCCAUCAGGAAAGACAUCACUCACAGAAGAAGCACCGGCUAACUCCGUGCCAGCAGCCGCGGUAAUACGGAGGGUGCGAGCGUUAAUCGGAAUUACUGGGCGUAAAGCGCGCGUAGGUGGCUUGAUAAGCCGGUUGUGAAAGCCCCGGGCUCAACCUGGGAACGGCAUCCGGUACUGUCAAGCUAGAGUGCAGGAGAGGAAGGUAGAAUUCCCGGUGUAGCGGUGAAAUGCGUAGAGAUCUGGAGGAAUACCAGUGGCGAAGGCGGCCUUCUGGACUGACACUGACGCUGAGGUGCGAAAGCGUGGGUAGCAAACAGGAUUAGAUACCCUAGUAGUC
rnacentral:rRNA from 1 species